UUUUUUUGCUUUCAUCAUCUCAGAUAAAUCCCUUCAAGUAAUUUUAUCAGGCCUGACAAAUCUACCAGUGCAUAUGAUCAUUCUCCGGGGGAAACUAUGAGAGGAAAUAAAAUGAAUCCUUUUCUUAUAUGUCCUUAUUCAUAUAAGGGCAAAUGAUGCAAAGAACUUUUUCUGAAAAAUAGAAGAUAAAAACUUCAUGUUUCUAUCAGAUAUAAGAAAUUAUAUAUUCUACCCUCCACUAUUCCCCCACCUUCCAUGUGAAUUGCACAUAAAAAGUUUUAUCUUCUAUAUGGCUUUUGAAGUAUUAUCAUUCUGAAGAUGAGAUGAGGAAAUCAGACUGAAAUUCAUGGUUUAUGAUGAGCAAGGAAGAAGAUAGCAUUUGAUCCUGUUUGAAUGGAGAUAAUGCAAAGUUCUUUUCCCUAUACUACAUAUCUCCAUGGGAAAAGAACUUUGCAUUAACUUUGGUCCUAAGAACUAAGUUCCGAUCCUUUUCUCGAUGACUACUUUUAUGACUUAACGUAUUUUAACCUCUUUGGGUCUUACUUUCCUCAACUGCAAAGUGAGGUGGUUGCAUUAAACCGUUCCUGAGACUUUUCCUAGUUCUAAAUCCAUGAUAAUCAUAAAUAUGUUCAUGUCAGUAAGCUGUAUAUGAAAUUAUUGAUAUCAAUUAAAUGUGAAAAUAUAUUUAUUUCAUAUAAGCUAAUACUGAAUAUGAAAUCAUAGUAAAAAUUCUACAUAUAUAUUUCUAUCAGGAUACAAUAGGAAAGCUUCAACAAGAAUUUGCAGAUUCCUGAAAAGAACAAUCCAUGACUUCACAAGAGGUUCUGUCAUCUUAUCAGUUUUGUACAUGACCCAAAAACUACAGGAAAAGAUCAAACCAAAAAUAAAGCUUGAAAUGGAAAGAGCCCCAUUUGAAGAUUCAGUAAAAGAGCAAAUGGACAAAACAAAAAAAAAAUUGCAAAACUCUUUUGGAUUUUGUUAAAGUCAGUCAGCUCCGGGAUUUAAUUUUUCUCAUUUUAAAAAUAUAUUCUUUAAGUGAUAGAACAUGGUAAGAAUUUUAAUUGUAAAAAAUCCCAUUAAUUAAAGCAAUUUGACAUUCAAAUACAAUUCAGGAUGCUAGUGGUUUUAAUCAUUAUGUUAUGAGAUGAAUUUUUUCUCUAUGAAAUUAAUAAUAUUUAUAAUAUCACAUCAGAUAAAAAAGUUAAAUUGCAAAAAAAUGUUCAUAUAAAGCGUUCAUGUUAUGUAAAGAAUUAAAAAAAAAAAAAGAAAAGAAAAUUCUACAAUGAUCAUGGUUAUGGUUCAAGUCUUCUUGCCCUAAAAACUUUUGGUGAAGUUUUGCCAUCAAAUUAGUUGUCGUAAUUUGAAUUUCUUAUGAAAUGAAGUCUAAAUUAAUUAAUAAUUAUUAAUAAACAAGGUUCCUUUUUAGUCAAACUAUAUAUAGUCAAAAAUAAUUAAAACCAUGUAUCAAAUUAAAACAUUCCAAGUGCUCAAAAAUGACAAGCUUUAAUAGCCACAUAUUGAGAAUUCAUCUCCCAUCUUUUCUGUGUAAGCUUUUUUUAGAAAAUCUAGAAAGUGAAAUCGUUUGUUAAUGACUCAGGAGCUACUAUCAUCAGGCUUUUUUUGCUUACAUAAAAGCCCUUUAUAAUCACAAAGUAGCAGAUUAUUUUCCAUAUUCAUGAAAAAGUUAAGUGAUUUUUUUCAUAAAUUGACCUCUUAAAAGUCUGAAACUUAAUUCUGAAAUCCUAAUUCAAUAUUAGAAAUUGGAGUCUUGGCUCAGUCUUGAUGUCAAUAUGAUUUUUGACAAAAUUUCUUGUUGUUGUUUUCUGGCCUUAGGUUUUUCACAUAUAAAAUGAUGCACUAACCCAUAGCUACGUUCCCUUUUUGCUCAAAUAGCUACAAUUCUAAGUUGAAGGAAAUACAGUUUAUGUUAUACCUUAUUGACAUUGUAUGCCCAUUGAGGCUAGUCUAUCACAGUUGAUCAGCACAUAAUUUUCUUGGUGCUGCGUACAUUUUUCCCUUGGUUCUUCUUGCUUCACUCAGCAUCUGUUCAUAUAAAUCUUUCCAGGUUUUUCUAAAAUCAACCUGUUCAUUAUUUAUUUAUAGAAUAAUACUCCAUUAUAUUCAUAAGGCAUAGUUUAUUCACUCAUCUCCCAAUUUAUGGGCAUCUACUCAAUUUGUAGUGUCUAGAAAACUACAAAAAAGACUGCUACCAAUUAUUUUGCAAAAGUAGGUGCUUUUCUUUCUUUUAUGAUCCCUUUGGAAUAUAGACCCAGUAGAGACACUGCUAGAUAAAAGGGAAAUUAAUAAUUCUUUAGGCAUAGAUCUAAAUUGAUCUCAAGAAUGGUCACAUAAAUUAUACACUUCAACAACAAAAUACUAUAUAAGCAUCAAUUCUGAUAGAAAUGGCUACCUUCGGCAAUGAGAGAGAAUCUAAAUCAUUUCCAAUUUAUCAGUGAUGGACAGAACCAACUACACCCAGCAAAAGAACACUGGGAAAUGAGUGUGGACCACAACAUACCAUUUGCAUUCUUUCUGUUGUCGUUUGCUUGCAUUUUUGAUUUUUCUUCCCAGGUUAUUUUUACCUUCUUUCUAAGUCUAAUUUUUCUUGUGCAACAAGAUAACUAUAUAAAUAUACAAAUAUACAAUUGGACAAAUACAAAAAGAAGUGUGUGGGGGAAGUAAAUGAGGAAAAUAAUUCAUUAAAAAUCAACUAAGCAAAUGGAAAUGAAUGAUUCAAUGGGAUAUCAAGCAUCAGUCAAGCAAAACAAAAAAGAAAAAAAUGUAAAAUACCUAAUUGGGAAAACAACUGAUCUGGAAAAGAGGUCUAGGAGAGACAUUCUAAGGAUUAUUGGACACACACACACACAGACACACACACACACACACACACAGACAUACACACAUAUAUUAUUUAAUAUAUACUUUAACAUGUUUAACAUGCUUGGGACUGCCUGCCAUCUAGGGGAGAAGAGGGGAUGGAGGGAAGGAGGGGAAAAGUUAGAAUAGAAGUUUUUGCAAGGGUCAAUGUUGAAAAAUUACCCAUGCAUAUGUUUUGUCAAUAAAAACCUAUAGUAACAAAAAAAAAAAAAUGGUCAGAUGAUUUCAAAACCCAGCGAGCAAUGCAUUAAUAUUUCAGUUUUCCCACAUUCUCUUCAUCAUUUAUCAUGUAAAUUAUGUAUUUCCUGUCAACCUUAACCAAGAUAUGAAGUUUUAUCAGCAAUGCCUUAAUUUGUAUUUCUCUAAUCAUAAUGUAGUACAGCAUUUUUAAUAUGAUUAGAAAUGGCUUGUAUUUAUUCAUCUGAAAAGUGUCUGUUCAUAUCCUUGGAUCAUUUAUCAAUUGGGGAAUGGUUUGUAUCCUUAUAAAUUUGACUUAAUUUCUAGAUAUUUUUGAAAUCAAGCUUUUAUCAGAAACACUGGAUAGAAAAAUUGUUUCUCAGCUUUUUUUGCCUCCGCAUCUUGGCUGCAUUGGUUUUGUUUGUGCAAAAAUGUUUUUUCCCUUUUUUAAAAUAGUUUUUUAAUAACAAUAUACAUGCACAUGGUAGAGCCCAGAUGGCAGUAAUAAAGGCAGGAAAUUUGUCCAAACCCUUCCCCAGACUGUUCCAAAUUCCUUUAAAUAAUGGAUCUAAACAAAUUUUAAUGGAUCAGAACACCCAAAAAGUAGAACAUUUUCCAGCCAAAGGCAACUUAUAAGCUCAGCAGAAAAAAUAUAUGAUAUCAGGGAGAGAGUCCUGUAGAUCAAUCUCAUUGUUAUGGGAGUUAGAAGGAGUAUAUAUAGACAGAGGAUAUGGAUGUGAGUUGAAAACAAAGGGAUAAUAUCUUUUUAAAAAGAUGAUGAAAAAAUGAUGAAUAUAUUGGGAGAAAGGGAAAGGGAGAAAUGGAAGCCUGCAAAUUAUCUGCCAUAAAGAAUAAAGAAAAAGCUUUUACACUGGAAGGGAAGAUGGGGAAGAAAGGGUGAGUAGUGAACCUUACUUCCAUCAGAAUUGCUUCAAAUAGGAAAUAAUAUAUCAAUAGGGAUAUAGAAAUCUAUUUUACCCUGCAGGAAAAUAGAGUGGAAUGGAUAUGGGAAAGGGGAGAAAAGUGAUAAAAGAGAAGGCAUGUUGGGGGAGGGAGUAGUCAAUAGCAAACCACUUUUGAGGAGAGACAGGGUGAAAGUAGAAAGUAAAUAAA